rnacentral:lncRNA from 1 species
GGAAAGGAAAGUUUUGAGAAAUUUGGAAAGGCUCUGCCUCCUUGAGGAAGUGGGGUUUUCCUCUCUGCUGUCCCCUUGACCACAAGAUUGUGCUGCUCGGAGCUCCUGGAGAUAAGUUGGGAUUCCACAAGUCAAGAAUACAACACAAUCAAGCACAUUUGUUUCCACCAUUACAGCCACAGCUCUCCAGUAAGGCAUGAACCAGCUACAGACAGUUGGACAAGGGGUAUCCAAAGGAGUGUCUAAAAGAUCUGCAAGGAGCAUGGGCAGAUCCUUAGCAGAGGUGAGGAUUUCCUGUCACUAGAAGUCUGUCCAGCAUGGGGAACCAUGAGGGUUAGUGGAGACUUCAGAGGCUUCUAGAGUUGAGGCCUCUACAAGCUUUGCCGCCCUGGCUCUUAACGGGUGGAUAUGCCUUGCUGCCGGACCCAAUGGAAGACUAAGGUCUUACUCAGCCUUUCUUAUGCAAGGCCUCCCUCCUGCAGGCCCUGCUGUGAAGUAUACUCCACAAUCUGCACCACGACUUCUUCCCUUUCCCUCCUGCCUCACUCAGGCCUGGAUGCGGAAGGAGGAGACUCAAGAACUGAAAGAUCCUUUAAGGAUUAUUCUGCCCAAGAUACUGUUAAGGACGAAGAACUGACUUGUCCAAGGCCCUGACAGGUUAGAGACUGAGCAGAGAGGGAGAGCCCAUAUCUGACUCCUGUCUGGUGUGUUUUCCCGUCGCACAGGUGGGAGCCUAGCCCUGCAGACCCAGGAGGGACCCUCCUCCCUCUGAGCAGGAAGGAAGCCUCUCUCCUCAGCUCCUGCCAAGGGGUGGGUCCUGACCAAGCAUGAGGGCAGCUUAAGCCCUUGGGCAACAGCACAGGCUAAAGAGAGGGCAAACAUGACCCUGACCAAGAGCUCUGGGCGGCGGGGACAGACACACGGAGUAGCACGUACUGUACACGUUACUACUGUUAGGAAGCCAUCCUCAAGUAGCCAUCGUC